UAGGGAAUCUUCCGCAAUGGGCGAAAGCCUGACGGAGCAACGCCGCGUGAGUGAUGAAGGUCUUCGGAUCGUAAAACUCUGUUAUUAGGGAAGAACAAAUGUGUAAGUAACUAUGCACAUCUUGACGGUACCUAAUCAGAAAGCCACGGCUAACUACGUGCCAGCAGCCGCGGUAAUACGUAGGUGGCAAGCGUUAUCCGGAAUUAUUGGGCGUAAAGCGCGCGUAGGCGGUUUUUUAAGUCUGAUGUGAAAGCCCCCGGCUCAACCGGGGAGGGUCAUUGGAAACUGGUUGACUUGAGUGCAGAAGAGGAGAGUGGAAUUCCAUGUGUAGCGGUGAAAUGCGUAGAUAUAUGGAGGAACACCAGUGGCGAAGGCGACUCUCUGGUCUGUAACUGACGCUGAGGUUCGAAAGCGUGGGUAGCAAACAGG
rnacentral:rRNA from 1 species